UACGUAGGGUGCGAGCGUUGUCCGGAAUUACUGGGCGUAAAGAGCUCGUAGGUGGUUUGUCGCGUUGUCCGUGAAAACUCACAACUCAAUUGUGGGCGUGCGGGCGAUACGGGCAGACUGGAGUACUGCAGGGGAGACUGGAAUUCCUGGUGUAGCGGUGAAAUGCGCAGAUAUCAGGAGGAACACCGGUGGCGAAGGCGGAUCUCUGGGCCGAUACUGACGCUGAGGAGCGAAAGCGUGGGGAGCGAACAGG
rnacentral:rRNA from 1 species